GAAACGCGAUAAGUAAUGUGAAUUGCAGAAUUCAGUGAAUCAUCGAAUCUUUGAACGCACAUGGCGCCCCCUGGUAUUCCGGGGGGCAUGCCUGUCCGAGCGUCGUUUCAACCCUCCGGAAGGGUCGUCUUAGGGCGGCCCCGCUCCGGGCGUUGGGGAUCUGCGAACGUAGCAGGCCCCGAAAAUCAGCGGCGGACCCGCGCGGCCCCUCCCUUGCGUAGUAGCAUCAGCCUCGCAUCGGUGACCCGCGGGACUCCGGCCCCUAAACCCCCCAACAAGCCCGGCCUGGCCGGCACAAGGUUGACCUCGGAUCAGGUAGGAAUACCCGCUGAACUUAA
rnacentral:misc_RNA from 1 species